CAACUGACAGCAAGUAGACUUGGGACGUGUGGUUCGUGGGGACGCAGGGGGACAUGUUCUUCAGAUUUCAGGGGAUUCCAGAGUUGCCGAUGUUCUGGGAAGAAUCUUCCUUUCGUGGUGAAACUGAGAGACCUACGUUAAAUUCCUCUUAGAUCACAGCUAGACGUGGGUUUGAUGGUCUCAAGCCACCUUUUCACUGUACAUUCAUCCCAUAAAUAGAAGAUGAAUAAAGAUGUCAAACUCCAUCCAUAUAAUAUUCUGACACACGUGGCUGUCUCUGUGAAAGAGGAGCUGGGAUGAAGGAGGACUACAGUGGAGUCCACAGAGCCAAGAACUGCAACAUACCUCAGUGAAUUUACGCACACAAAUAAGACCAUGUGGAUUACCAGCCAAUAGCUAUGGAGCUUCAGCUGUCAACCUUAUCCUGAAUGGACAUUUGUGGAAGGACAACGGUUGGGCUGGUAUAGUGUGAGUUCAACGUGGGCUACUUUCCUUAAGCCACCAUCCUUAAAUUUUGUGUUUUAAAUAGUGGUUUUCCAGGCAAGCAAAGUCAGGUCUAUACUUAAAGCAAGGGGUCCCAAGACCAGAUUCAGUUCUUCACGUUCCGAGUAAAAAUACAUGGAUCCCGAUUCGGGGAUUAUACUACUAAGAUUUAUUCAUCUUUCUGUGCCCUAGAUAGGGAAAGAACCAAAUCUAACAAGCAAGGAAUACACUGCCAAAUAUUGAUAAUUCCUUCUCUGGAAUACUCACAGCUAUUUUUAGUGUGUUAAUGUAAAAAGCCAGUGAGAUGAAAAGUGAAGUGAUUCGUUUCCAGAAGAAAAACCAGCCGAAUCUUCAUUAAUAAUUCCUUGUAGAAUGCUCCAUGGGCCUUUAUCUGACAGCCUGACAAGCUGAACUAAACAACAGAGACUGUAGGAAUGUAAAAGACAUAAUCUUAACACCAAACCUUCUGAAGAUUUGGCUGUCAUUUUACAUUAAAGGCAAGGGGUAAAAACCUCCAUUGAAACAGAAGGAGCUUGCAACCUGAUUAUAGUGCCAGAAAUUAGUGAGAGAAAAAAGGCAGGCAUCUGAGUUAGCAAAUGGUGGUAUUGAAGAGUAUUGAACUAAGCUUUCUUUCCACGUCUGGCUUGGGAUUUUUGAGAGCCGAAGACGAUGAUGCGGGUAUGAUAAGACGCAAUGUAGCUAUUCCUGGGCCUAGUGACAAAUCUUCGUUAUCAAUAAAAACUAUGUAACCAGUGUUGGACGCGGUAUAAAAGCUAACUCAAACACC